rnacentral:lncRNA from 1 species
AAGGGCCUCAUCGGAGGCAAAAACCGAGGAGGGGCGCGGCGGCGCCGCUGGGUUUCAGCCGUGUUUUCCGGCCGUUUAGCCGGGAUUUUGGCUCCGAUUUGGCCACAGGAGAACUCAGCGUGGAAAAACGAGUCAGGGGUAUGAAAUUUACCUCGAUCAACGGUCGGAAAACUCCCCGGUGCGGCGGCGGGUGGCAGCAGCCGGCUCCUCCGGCGUCUGGUUCGUCUUCUCCGGCGAGGGCAGGCGGCUAGGGUUUUUGUGGUCAGGUGUGGGGGUUCUAUUUAUACCCUUUUGCCUUUUGAUCUCAGUCGUCCAUUUUGAUUAAAUAUGGACCGUCCGUUUUUGAUUGAAUCUGGGCCGUCCGUGCGAUUACAUCUGGGCCGUCUAUGCGUACGCUUGAUCUGGGCCGUCCGAUCGCGCACGCGCGGGUCGCCCACGUGGUCGUUCCCUGGUCGACGUAGUCUUGCCACGCGGCAGGUCCUGGUUGGCCAGGGCUGCUGACUGGACCGCUGACGUGGCUGCUGACGUGGCUGCU